rnacentral:piRNA from 1 species
UGUGAGAUUGCCCGGUACAGCAGCAGUUGUA